rnacentral:rRNA from 1 species
AACGAACGCUGGCGGCGUGGAUUAGGCAUGCAAGUCGAACGUGAAGGAGCCUUCGGGCUCCGGAAAGUGGCAAACGGGUGAGUAACGCGUGAGAAACCUACCAUUCAGUUGGGGAUAACACUUCUAACGAGGUGCUAAUACCGAAUACGAUCUUUCCGUCGCAUGGCGGAUUGCUGAAAGGCGGCCUCUGCUUGCAAGCUGUCACUGAAUGAUGGUCUCGCGUCCCAUUAGCUAGUUGGUGAGGUAAUGGCCCACCAAGGCAUUGAUGGGUAGCCGGCCUUAGCGGGUGUCCGGCCACACUGGGACUGAGAUACGGCCCAGACUCCUACGGGUGGCUG